rnacentral:rRNA from 1 species
UACGUAGGGGGCGAGCGUUGUCCGGAAUCAUUGGGCGUAAAGAGCGUGUAGGCGGCUUGGAAAGUCUUACGUGAAAGCCUGCGGCUCAACCGCAGAAGUGCGUAGGAAACUUCCUCGCUAGAGUCCGGAAGAGGAGAGCGGAAUCCUGGAUGUAGCGGUGGAAGUGCGCAGAUAUCAGGAGGAACACCCGUGGCGAAGGCGGCUCUCUGGGACGGUACUGACGCUGAGACGCGAAAGCGUGGGGAGCGAACAGG